UCUCAAAGACAUUGGCAAAGCCUUACUAGGGACUGUUUCAGAGCAGAUUAUGCUUCUGGAAAACAUAGGGACGUCAGUUCUUGUUUCCGAAGAUCAGCUACCUGAACUUCAUUACUUAAUGGUUGAGGCUUCUAGAAUACUCAAUAUUGAGGCUCCUGACUUGUAUAUACGUCAAAGUCCUGUACCCAAUGCAUAUACCCUGGCUGUCAGUGGUAAAAAGCCUUUUGUAGUAGUUCAUACAAGCCUUGUGGAGCUG
rnacentral:misc_RNA from 1 species